UACGAAGGGUGCAAGCGUUAAUCGGAAUUACUGGGCGUAAAGGGCGCGUAGGCGGCGCGGUAAGUCACUUGUGAAAUCUCUGAGCUUAACUCAGAACGGCCAAGUGAUACUGCAGUGCUAGAGUGCAGAAGGGGCAAUCGGAAUUCUUGGUGUAGCGGUGAAAUGCGUAGAUAUCAAGAGGAACACCUGAGGUGAAGACGGGUUGCUGGGCUGACACUGACGCUGAGGCGCGAAAGCCAGGGGAGCAAACGGGAUUAGAUACCCUGGUAGU
rnacentral:rRNA from 1 species